UACAGAGGGUGCAAACGUUGUCCGGAAUUAUUGGGCGUAAAGAGCUUGUAGGCGGUUUGUCGCGUCUGCUGUGAAAAUCCGGGGCUCAACCCCGGACUUGCAGUGGGUACGGGCAGACUAGAGUGUGGUAGGGGAGACUGGAAUUCCUGGUGUAGCGGUGAAAUGCGCAGAUAUCAGGAGGAACACCGAUGGCGAAGGCAGGUCUCUGGGCCACUACUGACGCUGAGAAGCGAAAGCAUGGGGAGCGAACAGG
rnacentral:rRNA from 1 species